AAAGGCAUAAAACCAAAAAAAAACACUAAAGCCUUUCUGGUCCUUUCUGGUAUUGCACUAACGGGACGAAGGAGCUCUGGGCAGCAGCAGACUGAAGAUGCAGAACAGCAACAGUGGACUUCUGUUCCAGUCUGCUGGGGCAGGAGAUUCUGCUCACAUGCAGUGGAUGAGUGGAUUCUCUGUUAAUUCAGUUAUUGAACUCUCUCAUGUGGACCUUCUUAUUAUAUGAAAAACCUCACAUUACACUCCAAGGUAAUGUUAUUUCUCCGGAGCCAAAAACCAGCUUGAAUGUUAAUUCAGUGUUUAACUAACUUUUGGUUCACAGAUUGGAGCAGUGUCUAUUUCCACUUCUCUGUUGCUAACUUCUCACAGUUAGGAAAUUACUGCUGACAGCGGCUCAAAUGCUGUGCCGCACAUUGUUGAGAAAAAGAUGCUUCUUGUCCCUGGACUCUUUCUACCCUGGAUCAGUUUCUGACGAGACAAGCUCUCUGAAUGACAGCUGAAAUAUUUCCGUGCUCUUCUACGAUAGUAUUUCCUGAUGCCAAAACAUCUCCUCCCCUGUCUUCCCGCCCCCAGUUCACUUAACGUCUUGCAAAAUGAGAUGGGCAUUUAGGACGGAUAUUUGAUUGGUACAUGUGCUGUACUGGGAUGAAAUACAGCCUUGUGCCAUUGGGGCUGUAUAUCUUACAAAAAGGAAAAUAUGUGUAUUCUAGCUAACAGACAGCAUGUGGUUAUCACAGAGGUUAAGGGCUCUCUUUGUGUUCCUCGGGAAAUGGGAUCUGAUUUCUCACUGACAGCAGGUGAUGGCAUACAUAACAGUUCAGUAAGGUGAAGCAGUGUCUUAGUUUACAGCUGUAUUUUCCUUGAGCAGGGCUGUUUUGGGCACGGUGUGCCUUGACAGAAGUCUGCUCAGCAGCAUGAUGUACAGCUGCAGUUGCUGAGGAGGUGAAAACGAGCGCUGCCUCUCUUCAGUGCUCUGCAAGCUCUAAUCCCAUUUUGCAAUCCAGGAACCCCAGGGCUGAAGUAUCCUCCAGGUGCUGCACAAUAAAGCUCAGAGCAGGUGCAAGGUUUUAACCUCCCAGUUUCAGCAGUCUUAACUACAACCUCUCGUGCCUUCCAUAAAUAGCUCCACCAGAGCCAUGCUGUGCAGCAUGAUAACUGAAGGGUAUCUCUGUCUCUUUGAAUCCUUGUUCAACAUCUCUUGCGUGAAGUUGGCCACGUAGUCCACCAGGCCCUGUCUAAGAAGCAGGGCAAAUCCUCUGCGUCUGAAAGUAGUUUCAGCUUGCAAAGUACAAAAGGUGACUUAGGUAAAGAGUUGCUUUAUCUCUCACAUAUGCACUCAGGCCGUUAUCCACUGCAGAACUACGUAUCAAGUCACACUUUCUGGAGAAGCAAAAACUUCAUGAGAAAAAAAAUUCAUGAGAAGCUAGCUCUGUCCUGACAUGACUUUGCAAAAGGCUCUGCAGCCAGUCCUCGUUUGCAGCAGAGGUGCUCAGGUGUGUGAGCUCUGCAGGUGGGCUUCAUCAUGACUGAAUGAUCCUAUGAAAAGGCCCCAAGCAUGUCCUGUUUCCUGAGAAAUUCCACCAGAAGCUGAGUGCCAAAAGCAGUGUGACAUGAGAGACCAGCACCUUUACCUUUUUCAGCAGCAGCGAUCCUCUCAGGUUGUAGAAGUCAGUGCCCAACCUCAUUGGCAACAACCAAAUGUGGGAUCAGAGCAGACACCCACCAGCACAAAGUCUUUAUGGCAGACACAUGCAGGCGAACCCUGAACCUCCAAAGAAGAACAAUGACAAGUCAAAGAAGAUCAGUCGUAAGCCUCUGGCAGCCAGGAACAAAUAAGUCUUCAGCUUGUGCCUCCAGUUUUAUAUCUUUAACAUUUCUUUUGCAUGUGCCUGUAAUAUUCCAACACAUCUCCUAUUACUCAUUGUAAGGAAGCAAAGAGUAAAGGUAAAAGCAAUUUACUAUGUGUGCUGCCUUAGAGGAUACUGCUUAAAGAAUACAAAAUCACAUACUUUCCUAACUACGGUCACAUUUAUGUAGCCACUUAAUAUAUCACUGUCAGACACAUUUUAGCUUUUCUAUUUAUACAUAUGUUAAUGCCCUCUGUUCACAUGCAUCACAUCCUGUUAAUAUCGGGGUUUUGCCCUAUAUUAUACGAUAUUAAAUUUCAUAUAAUAUUCCAAACAAUUUUAAUAAAGGUCUCUAUUUGUACUGUG